rnacentral:rRNA from 1 species
UUCCUACGGGGGGCAGCAGUGGGGAAUAUUGCACAAUGGGGGAAACCCUGAUGCAGCGACGCCGCGUGAGUGAAGAAGUAUUUCGGUAUGUAAAGCUCUAUCAGCAGGGAAGAAAAAAGACGGUACCUGACUAAGAAGCACCGGCUAAAUACGUGCAAGCAGCCGCGGUAAUACGUAUGGUGCAAGCGUUAUCCGGAUUUACUGGGUGUAAAGGGAGCGCAGGCGGUGCGGCAAGUCUGAUGUG